UGUCCCGGAGGCAGCAGUGGGGAAUAUUGCACAAUGGGGGGAACCCUGAUGCAGCAAUGCCGCGUGGGUGAAGAAGCACUCCGGUGCGUAAAGCCCUGUCAGCAGGGAGGAAAAUGACAGUACCUGGACAAGAAGCCCCGGCUAACUACGUGCCAGCAGCCGCGGUAAUACGUAGGGGGCAAGCGUUAUCCGGAUUUACUGGGUGUAAAGGGAGCGCAGGCGGUCUGGCAAGUCUGAUGUGAAAUACCGGGGCUCAACUCCGGGACUGCAUUGGAAACUGUCAGACUGGAGUGUCGGAGAGGCAG
rnacentral:rRNA from 1 species